AUUGAACGCUGGAGGCAGGCUUAACACAUGCAAGUCGAACGGGGAAAGCUUUCGGGUGAGUACUAGUGGCGCACGGGUGAGGAACGCGUGGAUAAUCUGCCUUAGAGUGGGGGAUAACUAGUCGAAAGAUUAGCUAAUACCGCAUAAGACCACAGGAGCUGCGGCUCAAGGGGUCAAAGGUUUUUCGCUCUAAGAUGAGUCCGCGUAAGAUUAGCUAGUUGGUGAGGUAACGGCUCACCAAGGCGACGAUCUUUAACUGGUCUGAGAGGAUGAUCAGUCACACUGGAACUGAGACACGGUCCAGACUCCUACGGGAGGCAGCAGUAGGGAAUAUUGCACAAUGGAGGAAACUCUGAUGCAGCGACGCCGCGUGAGUGAUGAAGGCCUUCGGGUCGUAAAGCUCUGUCGCAGGGGAAUAACACAAUGAAGGUACCCUGUAAGAAAGGAUCGGCUAACUUCGUGCCAGCAGCCGCCGUAACAC
rnacentral:rRNA from 1 species